rnacentral:tRNA from 1 species
GUGUGAUUAAGGGGCUUUAGCACCUUCACACGGUGGAAGUCACAGGUUCAAAUCCCGUAUCGCCCACCA